CAAAACAAUAGAGACGGUCACGUUAUUGCCCUUAAACCAAGGAAGCUGCUCGCUAUUAUAGCAUACGAGCUCCGUAUUCCGCAACGUCAACAUCUCCCUGAUGAUCAUCUUUCGUUAUAUAAUGUAUAUAAGGAAGAAGUAAUUUGCAGUAAAGACGUAAUAAAAUCAAAUUUCAUCGUUGGCUUAUAUAUGCGUGUUAUAUUAUACAAGAAAAGUCACAUGUGCAAGAAACGAUAAGCCAGGAGCAACCGUACAUACGUGAGACACCUGCGGUUAAGGGAUUCGAUCUACCGAUUUCAAUAAUAGCAUAAAAUUUACAUCUCUGCUUGGGAAAGCAUGAAAAAUGAAUUACACGAAUUCGAACAGAAUUUUCGAGUAAAAGUUGUAUGCAAUGAGGUUAUAUAGGAAUCAGUGCGCGAAAAUAUACCCGUUCACUCGGUCAUGCAAUAUGCGUUAUUUUUUAUAGCAUUUUUCAAAAUUUCAUUACAACCAUGAAAACUUACCGGCCUUUCUGCCUGUCCAUCCAUGUCAUAUUGAAAUACAAAGUGAUUCGUUCCAACUUUGAACGUAGCAAAAGAUCCGAAGGAUUUUAACUGUUUAACGGCACUAUUGUUGCUGUUGCUGUUGCUGUUGCU